GGACGCCUUUGGCCGAGCGGGAGAAAUUAUCUUGCACGAACGUGGCGGAUAUGCCCGUGGCCUCGGAGAACGCGCGUGCAUUGAAGCUUUCGAAGAAGAGGCCGCGGUUGUCGCGGNNNCGGCUCGAAUGCAAUUACGUCCGGAAUGGCAAGUGUGGAGGCGAUCAUCAAAAGGUUCCAUGGUUCAGCAAGCUGUACAAGUAUCGCCCGUAACCAUUGUUCUUCAUCGCGGCAGCAAGUUCUUCAAGCUCGGCGUCGCUGAUCCACCCGUUGCGCCACGCGAUCUCCUCUGGACAGG
rnacentral:misc_RNA from 1 species